UCCUGGCUCAGAUUGAACGCUGGCGGCAGGCCUAACACAUGCAAGUCGAGCGGUAACAGGGGUAGCUUGCUACCCGCUGACGAGCGGCGGACGGGUGAGUAAUGCAUAGGAAUCUGCCCGAUAGUGGGGGAUAACCUGGGGAAACCCAGGCUAAUACCGCAUACGUCCUACGGGAGAAAGGGGGCUCCGGCUCCCGCUAUUGGAUGAGCCUAUGUCGGAUUAGCUAGUUGGUAAGGUAAUGGCUUACCAAGGCAACGAUCCGUAGCUGGUCUGAGAGGAUGAUCAGCCACAUCGGGACUGAGACACGGCCCGAACUCCUACGGGAGGCAGCAGUGGGGAAUAUUGGACAAUGGGGGCAACCCUGAUCCAGCCAUGCCGCGUGUGUGAAGAAGGCCCUCGGGUUGUAAAGCACUUUCAGCGAGGAAGAACGCCUAUCGGUUAAUACCCGGUAGGAAAGACAUCACUCGCAGAAGAAGCACCGGCUAACUCCGUGCCAGCAGCCGCGGUAA
rnacentral:rRNA from 1 species